CUUUUCCUACUGGGGGCAGCAGUGGGGAAUAUUGGGCAAUGGGCGCAAGCCUGACCCAGCAAUGCCGCGUGAAGGAAGAAGGCCCUCGGGUUGUAAACUUCUUUUAUCAGGGACGAAGGAUGUGACGGUACCUGAUGAAUAAGCUCCGGCUAACUACGUGCCAGCAGCCGCGGUAAUACGUAGGGGGCAAGCGUUAUCCGGAUUUACUGGGUGUAAAGGGAGCGUAGACGGCUGUGCAAGUCUGAAGUGAAAUGCCGGGGCUCAACCCCGGAACUGCUUUGGAAACUGUACAGCUAGAGGGCAGG
rnacentral:rRNA from 1 species